rnacentral:rRNA from 1 species
UUACAACUCCCAAACCCCUGUGAACAUCCCACUUGUUGCCUCGGCGGAUCAGCCCGCUCCCGGUAAAACGGGACGGCCCGCCAGAGGACCCCUAAACUCUGUUUCUAUAUGUAACUUCAGAGUAAAACCAUAAAUAAAUCAAAACUUUCAACAACGGAUCUCUUGGUUCUGGCAUCGAUGAAGAACGCAGCAAAAUGCGAUAAGUAAUGUGAAUUGCAGAAUUCAGUGAAUCAUCGAAUCUUUGAACGCACAUUGCGCCCGCCAGUAUUCUGGCGGGCAUGCCUGUUCGAGCGUCAUUUCAACCCUCAAGCACAGCUUGGUGUUGGGACUCGCGUUAAUUCGCGUUCCUCAAAUUGAUUGGCGGUCACGUCGAGCUUCCAUAGCGUAGUAGUAAAACCCUCGUUACUGGUAAUCGUAGCGGCCACGCCGUUAAACCCCAACUUCUGAAUGUUGACCUCGGAUCAGGUAGGAAUACCCGCUGAACUUAAGCAUAUCAAUAGCGGAGGAAACCCUGAUCAAUUUUCGAGGGGA